rnacentral:rRNA from 1 species
UACAGAGACUGCAAGCGUCAUUCGGAUUCACUGGGCGUAAAGGGUGCGCAGGCGGCCAUGUGUGUUGGGUGUGAAAGCCCGGAGCUUAACUCCGGAAUUGCGCCCAAAACUACAUGGCUAGAGUAUUGGAGAGGGUAACGGAAUUCAUGGUGUAGCAGUGAAAUGCGUAGAUAUCAUGAGGAACACCAGAGGCGAAGGCGGUUACCUGGACAAUUACUGACGCUCAGGCACGAAAGCGUGGGGAGCAAAAGGG